AGUUAUUUAUCUAGACUUAUUUAAUCAUUUCGUUGAAAUCUCUUAUUCUACAGAAAAGACAGUAUAGUAUAGUUAAUGCCUAUACAAGUUGACGUGUCGUACUUUUGCGAUAGUAUUAAGUAUGUAAAAAGGUCUCUUGAAAAAUUACUUUUUUCCAUUUUGACCUUGUGUGUGUAUUAAGUACAAAAUACACAAUUGUAAACCUCAGGCUGAAGUUAAAGAAGAUUUUCAGAAUUUUUUUAAUUUUUAAAUAUAAAAAUUGCCUUACGUAAUCAAAUGUUCAACAGGCCCAACCGUCUUAGACCGGUUUUAGGUUUUUCUACAGUGGUAGGCGAUUAUAUAUCAAUACAAUGAAAACUACUUUCGAUUUUAAUUUUGAUUUAUAUCAAGCUGUUCAACAACAUGGAUACACAAACACAGAGGUCAACAGAAGCUCUCAAUUAAAAAAGCUUCUCUUUAAUUACUUAUAAACUUUUAAUUUGAAAAAAAGCUUGUUAUUAAUCAAACUUAGAUAAAAAGUCUCUUUUUUGUAUUAAUAUAAUCGCCUACCACUGUAACAUAACUUACAAAUUGUCAUCCAAAUACGUAAACUUGAAUUGAAAAUUAGAAAAAACGAAGAACCUUAACACUAGUUUAUACUCUGCAUAAAUACAUGUGUAUGAUCAGAGAAAGAGCUACUUUAGUCUCAUGUUAAUUAGUUAACCCUGUAUUCUCUAUUCUUCUGCAUAUACAGAGUGUCCCACGAAACUUGACAGUAGAAGAAAGACUUAAAGGUCGUCUUUGGUCUUUGAAAUAAUUAGGCUGGUCAUUGGUCAAACUACUUUUAAAUGUAUGAUUCGUGAAACAAUUAUGAAAAAAUCUGCUAGUUAUGAAUUUUCAAAAUGUGAUCCGACUUUUUUUGUGCUGUCAAUAUAACCGGAAAUACUAAGAAUUGUGUUCAGAUUUCAAUUUAUUAAUUCAAAUCAAAAUUAUCAAAAAUCUGAAAUUCUUCAUUUCUCCGUUAAUAUUGAAAGCACAAAAAGGCGGAACACAUUUUGGAAAUGACAGGGCUUUAGGAUUAUUUUGUGAUUAUUUACUCCAAAAUUAUACUUAUAAAAUUAGGUUUACAAAUGCUGCAAAUUAUUCUAAGACCAAAGACGACCUUUAAGUCGUCUGUCUACUAGCAUCUUUAGUGGGACCCCAUGUGUAUUAAUGUUUAACUCUUAAUAACAAUGCACACUCGAAACUCUCUCUUACAAUUGUUAUGUUGGAUUUUUAAAGUUAUAUUUUUCGCAACGCCCCAAUGCAUAUAUCAACGUAAAAUGACAAAAUGUUUAUAGUGGCCUCAUAAUUCCCUUAUUGUUGGAAUUUCAAAUUAUAAUCAAUUUUUCUUGAUUUUUUUGUUUCUUUUGUUGUCUUUUAAUCUAAUAAAAUACGUAUACUUAAAGAUGGGCACAAAACAAUUCCAAUCUGUUCAUAUACUCCAGUUAAGUUGUAAACAAUAUUAUAUCUAACCCGUAUGACCUUAUGCUCUUGUAAUGCAAGUUAUAAAAAUAAGAAGUAUCGUUCUCUAUAAACUUGUUAUUAAUGCUUAUGAAUAAAAAUGUUUGUAUAGUU